AGUCCCAGUUGCCCGCCACCAGCCCCACCUCCAGGAGCGGCGGAGAAGCAGAGACUUUCCAAUCGAGCCGACCUAAACCUUCCUGGCUUUGCUCCUAGCUCGCUGUGUGACUUUGUUGAUGCCCUGGUGGAGCGGAAGCGGGGUUAAUACCUCCACCGGCCAGCAGAGGACAGGCGAUGACCAGCCUUCUCGCCCGGUUGCGCAUCCUCUCCGCCGGCAGACGCCACGAGGGAAACAGGACGGGAUACAACUGCAGAAGCAACAAGUGAACCUUUAAAGAUGCAUAUGGGGCUGCACAAAGAGCAGAGAGGAACUGGAGAAACCAAGGAAGUAAGGAAAAAGUUUAAUAGGGAAAACUUGCUUUCUGCAAACAACUGAAAAAGCCGCCCUUGGAAGCUGUUUCUUUGGGCCUCAUGGAGCAGCUGGAACCUGCGCUGUGAGGCCCCCGACAGGACGAACUGUCGCCCACUGACCCCCCAGCGCGGCUGUCACCAUGGCCAGCAAGAGGAAGUCCACCACCCCGUGCAUGAUCCCCGUGAAGACCGUGGUGCUGCAGGACACCGGCGCCGAGGCCCUGCCCGAGGAGCCCGUGCCCGAGGGGCCCCCGCAGGAGCCGCCCCCAGAAGCUCCCACCGCCAGCGGCGAGGCCACCCAGGGCACCAGCGGUCCAGACAGUGCCGCACUGGCCAACGGGCACCGGAGCACCUUGGACGGCUACACAUAUGCCUGUAAAUGCUGUGACUUCAGAUCCCAGGACAUAACCCGGUUUGUGGGACACCUGAGCUCAGAGCACACAGACUUUAGCAAAGACCCGAACUUUGUAUGCACUGAAUGCAGUUUUCUGGCAAAAACUCCCGAGGGGCUUUCUCUGCACAAUGCCAAGUGUCACUCGGGGGAAGCCAGCUUUGUGUGGAAUGUGGCCAAGCCAGACAAUCAUGUCGUCGUGGAGCAGAGUGUCCCCGAGAGCACCAGCCCUCCCGACCCAUCGGGGGAGCCAAACAUGGAAGGGACAGAUGGACAGGCGGAAAUCAUCAUCACCAAAACUCCAAUCAUGAAGAUAAUGAAAGGCAAAGCGGAAGCCAAAAAAAUUCACACGCUCAAGGAGAACGUCCCCAGUCAGCCUGCUGGGGAGGCCUUACCGACCCCUUCAGCCGGGGACACGGAGGUGAAAGAGGGGGACCACGCCUUUGUCAACGGGGCAGCCCCGGUCAGCCAGGCCUCUACCAACUCCGCAAAACCCCCUCACUCGGCCAACGGGCCCCUGCUGGGGACGGUGCCGGUGCUGCCCGCGGGCAUCGCCCAGUUCCUCUCCCUGCAGCAGCCGCCCCCGCACGCCCAGCACCACGCCCACCAGCCCCUGCCCACGGCCAAGUCCCUCCCCAAAGUGAUGAUCCCGCUGAGCAGCAUCCCCACAUACAACGCGGCCAUGGACUCCAACAGCUUUCUGAAGAACUCCUUCCACAAGUUCCCCUACCCAACCAAAGCCGAGCUCUGCUAUUUGACCGUGGUCACCAAGUACCCGGAAGAGCAGCUCAAGAUCUGGUUCACUGCCCAGAGGCUGAAGCAAGGUAUCAGCUGGUCCCCGGAGGAGAUUGAGGACGCCCGGAAGAAGAUGUUCAACACGGUCAUCCAGUCCGUCCCCCAGCCCACAAUCACUGUCCUCAACACCCCGCUGGUUGCCAGUGGCGGCAACGUCCAACAUCUCAUCCAGCCCACUCUGCCUGGCCACGUGGUGGGCCAGCCAGAGGGCACAGCCGGGGGACUUCUGGUCACUCAGCCACUGAUGGCCAAUGGGUUGCAGGCACCCAGCUCAUCUCUCCCCCUGGCAGUCACAUCUGUCCCCAAGCUGCCCGCUGUCGCGCCCAUUAACACCGUGUGUUCAAAUACAACGUCCGCCGUGAAGGUGGUGAAUGCCGCCCAGUCCCUCCUCACGGCGUGUCCCAGCAUCACCUCCCAAGCCUUCCUGGAUGCCAGCAUCUACAAAAACAAGAAAUCUCAUGAACAGCUGUCAGCUCUGAAAGGGAGCUUCUGUCGGAACCAGUUCCCAGGACAGAGCGAAGUUGAGCAUCUGACCAAAGUGACCGGCCUCAGCACCCGUGAGGUGCGGAAGUGGUUCAGUGACCGCAGGUACCACUGCCGGAACCUGAAGGGCUCCAGGGCCGGGCUGGCCGGGGAGCAUGGCGCCCUCCUCGUCGACUCUGUGCCCGAGGUGCCCUUCUCCCUGGCGUCCAAGGCCCCGGAGGUGACCUGCCUCCUGACAGCGGCCACCCCAGCUACCCCCCCUUCUGCCAAGCGACAGUCCUGGCACCAGACCCCCGACUUCACACCAACCAAAUACAAGGAGCGGGCCCCCGAGCAGCUCAGGGCCCUGGAGAACAGUUUUGCCCAAAACCCCCUUCCUCUCGACGAGGAACUGGACCGCCUGAGGACCGAGACCAAAAUGACCCGCAGGGAGAUUGAUGGCUGGUUUUCAGAGAGACGGAAAAAAGUGAGUGCCGAGGAGGCCAAGAAGGCUGAGGAGGGCGCCUCUCAGGGGGAGGAGGAGGCCGCCGAGGAUGAGGGGGAGGAGGGCUCUGCCAGGGACCCGAGGGUCCCAGGGGAAGAUGGCUCCCCAGAAACGCCCGGCAGCCACGUGCUGGCAGAACGCAAAGUCAGCCCCAUCAAAAUCAACCUCAAGAACCUGCGAGUCACGGAGGCCAACGGCAAGGGCGAGCUCCCGGGGCUGGGCGCCUGUGAGCCCGAGGAUGACGUGCCCAGCAAGCCAGCGGAGCAGCUGCCGGGCAAGGUGAGCUACAGGAAGACGGCCCAGCAGCGGCACCUGCUGCGGCAGCUCUUCCUGCAGACGCAGUGGCCCAGCAACCAGGACUAUGACUCCAUCAUGGCCCAGACGGGCCUGCCGCGGCCCGAGGUGGUGCGCUGGUUUGGGGACAGCAGGUACGCCCUGAAGAACGGCCAGCUCAAGUGGUACGAAGACUACAGACGGGGCAACUUCCCCCCCGGGCUGCUGGUCAUCAGCCCCGGCAACCGGGAGCUGCUGCAAGACUAUUACGUGACCCACAAGAUGCUGUACGAGCAGGACCUGCAGAGCCUCUGCGACAAAACCCAGAUGAGCGCCCAGCAGGUCAAGCAGUGGUUUGCCGAGAGGAUGGGUGAGGAGACCCGGGCCGUGGCCGACACGGGUGGUGAGGGCCAGGGCCCCAGCGACCCUGCAGCAGUUCACAAAGGGAUGGGCGACACCUAUUCAGAGGUGUCCGAAAACAGUGAGUCAUGGGAACCCGGUGCCCCUGAGGCCAGCUCAGAGCCCGUUGACACGCCGAGUCCCCAGGCUGGACCUCAGCUGGGUAAGGAGCCUGUGGGGCUGUGCCGUCCUCUGUGGGUCUGGGGGGCACCUGUGGCAGGCACCGAAUCCAGUGCCGGGGCAUCUGCUGUUUCUAAGGCUGUCUGGCAGCAGGACCGUGUUGUCUGGCUGCUUCGGGGGGCACCUGGCAGCAGAAUCCAUUGGAGCAUCAUCAUAUGAUAAAGGCUUGACACUUGGUUUUUUUGUUUCGUGUUUGUUAAACCUGCACAGGGGAAGGAGUGUAGUGAACCUCCAAGGGCCCACCCUUUUCUAGUCAUUUCUUAGCCAAAGGAGAAUAGGUCAGAAUGUCAUCUGAGCCAGAUAGAACCACGACCGCUGGGUAAGAGAGAGAAUAGGACUUAUGAGGAAAUUCAACCCCAGUUGGUGAACAAAAGCAGAGGGAGCCUUUAAUUGACCUUAGAUACACAAAGUGCUUUUUUUUCUAAAUGAUGAAAAAUCCUGUAAUUUGCAUUGCAGUUAUUCUUCCUGAUAUAGAGGUAGUGGAAAAUCUUCUUCCCUCUUAGACAUAACAUGGAAUCGAAUGCUUGAAUUUUGUUCCUCAUUUUCUCUGGAUCAGGACAGUAGUACUUGAAAGAAAGCUUUAGAAGAUUAUUUUACUGAAGACAGUUUGAAGCCUCAGACAAAUCACGUUAUUGGGUGUUGAUUUUCUUGGGUCUUGAUCUCUGAGUUCCUGGCCUCUCCCUUCCCUCCCACCCUCCUCUUGGGUGGCCUUGUCACAGGUUGGCCAGGAGCGAGGUAGCUGAGCUCUUCACGGGAAGCUGUGGAAACCAAGGAAGUAUCUGGAUUCCCAGAUUCCCUGAUUUGGGACCUUUAGAAGGUGGUUCCAGGGCCGGCGUUUCUGGACUCGACCUUGUUUCCUCCAAGCCCCUAAACUGACUGAACCGGAACCGACGGCUGUGAAGGCCUGGCCGGGGCGGCCGCCCUCCACAUGGAAGGGCCUGACCCCCCUCUGCUGCCCCGGGCCGCCGCCGUACCCGGCCCACCAUGCUCACACAGGUCUCCACGCGGCCAAGCCUGCCGUCGUCCGCACCCGGCCCGCCACCCCAGCGAGCAGGGAGGAGCGUCUGGCAGUUCUUCCGCCCACAAUGUAGGACCUUUCUUUUGCCUUCCAGUGGAUAAAUAGUUCAGAUUUCAUAUUCAUAGACACAGAAUCAAGUUUUUAACAUAUAAAUCUGCCUAUACACAUUUAAUAAAACAUCAGAUUAUAAACACUUUCAUUACAUAGAAACUUUGGUUAGCAAAGCAGUACGUGGUCUUUUAUAUCAUCUCUGGAAAUGCCCUGUGUCUGUUCUCUGGAGAUCGCUGGGCUGCGUGUUCCCGCACCUUCCAUGGUCAGGCCGGGGUUAUCACACGCUCAGAACCACACCUGCAACCGCUGGGGCCCCCUUUGCGCUCCUUCGGGAAGGUGGUACCUUUGAAGAGACCUCUGCUCCUUAAGCGGUGACCAGCAAGAUUGCAUAGCAGGUUUGCCUUGCCUUACGGGAUGAUAGUGCAGAACAUGCUGUUACCCGCAGUUCAGAAAACUGACCGGUUAUGUGAUUAGUGUUUGAUGCUUACCACUCUCGUAAGUUGUUACAGUAAUUCUGCUUUUUCAUGGGAGUUUGAAUCAUGGACCAUAACUCUUCAGUGAUCAGAUCAACUAAAGAAACAUUUGUUGUUAAGCCUAAUGUACUGCCCUAUGUGCCGCCUUUUUUUUUUUUCAGUCUAGACACAUUUAGAGGAAAAUUGACAAGCGAAACAGGGAUGGGGGAUGGGAGUGAAGGCGCACAGCUGCUGGGGCUCUCUCUGCCCUCUAUCGACCCUCACCCCAGAGCCGCCUCUGGUUUGGGAAGGCAGGCCCACGCUCGCCUGGUUAGACUGAGAGCUGGCGGGAUUCGGGGACUUUUCGGAAUUAUCGGAGCCAGGGUGGCCCUCAGCACAAAGACCUGCAUGUGGGGUUCCCAGCAGAAGACCCAGAGUCCUCCUGGCCCCCGUGCCUGGGGCCUGGUUGGUGUGCUGGACAUCGCUGGACAGGUCCUUGUGAGGAUGUUUUUAAAGUUCUAUAUUUAUAUCCCCAGACUUGGAACCAAGAUCUCUGUCUACUUAAGCCUAACCCUCAUAUCCAUUUUUUUAAUUGAGAAAAGUCACAGGAAAAGGUGCCUUUGAAACAUUGAGAAAGUUGCCUACAAAGCUGUGCUGAACGGUAAAUCCCGAUCUCGCCGAGACCGGCUGCCCCGAGAGCAGCAGGUGAAGAGGGGGCUGGCAAAGGUGCAUCACCUCCCAGAAACCACCCGCUUCCCAGAGCACCAAAUCCUCGGAGACCCCAGAGACAGGGCAGGGGCUUUGGGCAAGAAUACUGGGGGGGGGCGGUGUUCGGCACGGUCCUUCUCCCCCGUCCCCCCGGGAACUGGGCCGGGCAGGGCAUCUCCCAGGUUUGGCUCUGAGCACAGAGACGGGGGUCGCACCUCCUGCCUCCAGGAGAGGCUUUUUUCCGGAAACCAAAAGCCCUUGAACCAUUGUUCUUCUAAAGAGUCUCCUCUUGCUUGCCCUGUCCUGUUAGGGACCACCUCUUCUUGGUUUCAAACAGGUGACUUGUGAGGACUUGGCAAGUUUGGCAGCCUGUUUUUGUAUCCUUUCCAUAUUUAGCCCCAAGGCCUCUUUGCGGAAUUGCCCAGAAUGGCGAGUGAUUGCCUUCCUUCAGAGAACAGACACCUAGAACUUUUCCUGUAGUGGUUAUGUACAUGCAGAUUAAUUUAUAUGUAUCCAUAUACAGCACAGAUACUCAUUUGAUGCUUUACUUGUGACGCGUCUGCCUGACGCAGCACGUGGGUGUUGGGGAGAGCAGCCCGUGUUGGGGGGUUGCGGGGGAGGCCGGGGCGGCCCCGCGCGAAGCCACAUCCGAGUGUCUGCGACGCCACCCUGCCGGCGUCACUCCCAGAGCCCUGCGUGCCCCAACCGAGGGCCGUGUCUUUACAGCGGAGUUUCUUGGUUAUUUUAUUUGUAUUCAUGUCAUUUACAACCCAAACAGCGAAACAGAAAACAUAAAUUACGUGGUGGACAAGUUCACACAGGACGUAGGGCCCCGAGCUCAGCACCAGCUCGUCCUUAAAAAGUGGAAGCGUCACGGUGCUGCCUGCGGGCAGGUUUUGCUCACAGGAGUCAGCCUGCCCGCUAGCCAGGGCGACCCCCCGAACGGCGAGACUGCCCAGGCUGGACAGACCCUCCUCCUUCCUUUACUCUGGGACCCGAGUGACUAAGGAAUGAGGUGAUGGAGACAGAAAUGGUUGGUUCAUCGAGCAGGUGCCUAAAGGGACGUCGCAGCAGGUACCCGGGGCCCUGGGGGCAAAACCAGGAACACAGCCAACCGGCUGCAGAGACACAGCCGCAGCAGCCCGGAGCCGGCGCGCGCCAGAGUGCGGUGGGGAUGCAGGACGGCCGCAGCCGGCCCCGUGGCCAGGGAGGUCACCACGGUUUGCGCCCCACCCAGGGUUAGACUGUGCUGCUGCCUUCAGGAGAGGGCAGUCUGUGGGCUCUAGAGUUGAGGGAAGUAGGGUGGGGUUAGUCUCUCCCAAAGAAAAAGCGUGUUUCGUAAGGUGACUAAUCUUUCCCCUCCUCUCUGUGUGCACUUGGACUCAUCAGAGAUGGUGAACUAUGUCAGUGUUUCUUGUUGCCUGUGUCUUGUACAUGUUUGGUUUAUUGUAUUUUUUACAUGGGGUUGUAGAUGCAGUUUUAGUAGGUGAGCCCAGAUCGCCAUUCUGACAAAGGAAACCUGGGUUUAUGGCACAGAUGCUCUGCGUACUUCGAUUACGUGUAUUAAUUCUUGACUGUUGACGAGCUUUGUGAU